rnacentral:rRNA from 1 species
CAGUCGCCGCGGUAAAACGUAUGUCACAAGCGUUAUCCGGAUUUAUUGGGCGUAAAGCGCGUCUAGGUGGUUAUGUAAGUCUGAUGUGAAAAUGCAGGGCUCAACUCUGUAUUGCGUUGGAAACUGUGUAACUAGAGUACUGGAGAGGUAAGCGGAACUACAAGUGUAGAGGUGAAAUUCGUAGAUAUUUGUAGGAAUGCCGAUGGGGAAGCCAGCUUACUGGACAGAUACUGACGCUGAAGCGCGAAAGCGUGGGUAGCAAACAGGAUUAGAUACCCCAGUAGUCCCUGUCUCUUAUACA